UACACUCCUACGGGAGGCAGCAGUGGGGAAUAUUGGACAAUGGGCGCAAGCCUGAUCCAGCCAUGCCGCGUGAGUGAUGAAGGCCCUAGGGUUGUAAAGCUCUUUCACCGGUGAAGAUAAUGACGGUAACCGGAGAAGAAGCCCCGGCUAACUUCGUGCCAGCAGCCGCGGUAAUACGAAGAGGGCUAGCGUUGUUCGGAUUUACUGGGCGUAAAGCGCACGUAGGCGGACUAUUAAGUCAGGGGUGAAAUCCCGGGGCUCAACCCCGGAACUGCCUUUGAUACUGGUAGUCUUGAGUUCGAGAGAGGUGAGUGGAAUUCCGAGUGUAGAGGUGAAAUUCGUAGAUAUUCGGAGGAACACCAGUGGCGAAGGCGGCUCACUGGCUCGAUACUGACGCUGAGGUGCGAAAGCGUGGGGAGCAAACAGGAUUAGAAACCCCAGUAGUCCCAUGA
rnacentral:rRNA from 1 species